rnacentral:rRNA from 1 species
UUUAUUGAGAGUUUGAUCCUGGCUCAGGACGAACGCUGGCGGCGUGCCUAACACAUGCAAGUCGAGCGAUGAAGUUCCUUCGGGAAC